AGCCUCGAUCAAAGGAGCGGUAGCUGUAGAUCUGAUGAGAGUAGAGAAAGCCAUUGCAAUAUUUCACUUGAAGCUCUUCCCGGAAGACCCUAACAAAGAGGAUAGAAGAGAGAGAGAGGAGAGACUGCUUCUCUUUCUAUCUUUCUUUCUUUCUUUCUUUUUAUUUUAACGUUAGGCAGAAGGCGAAAUGAAAUAGCUGAGUUCCGUAUGAGGGAGGGGUAAGUGAGGAGAUGGCUGGAUUGCUGGCUUUCAUGUCCCUCGACCCUUCUUUUAAAUAAACAUUUUAUUUUGAGACCACCGAGUA
rnacentral:misc_RNA from 1 species